AUUGAACGCUGGCGGCAUGCUUUACACAUGCAAGUCGAACGAGUGGCGAACGGGUGAGUAAUAUAUCGGAACGUACCGAGUAAUGGGAGAUAACCAAUCGACAGAUUGGCUAAUACCGCAUAUUAUUCGAGCGGCCGAUAACUGAUUAGCUAGUUGGUGGGGUAAAGGCCUACCAAGGCGACGAUCAGUAGCGGGUCUGAGAGGACGAGCGGCAACACGGUGACUGGGAAACGGCCCAGACGCCUACGGGAGGCAGCAGUGGGGAAUUUUGGACAAUGGGGGCAACCCUGCUGCAGACAUGCGGCGGGGAUGAAGAAGGCCUUCGGGUGUGAAGGUAUUUUUGUGAGGGAAGCGGUACCUAAAGAAUAAGCACCGGCUAACGACGUGCCAGCCGCCGCGGUAAUUC
rnacentral:rRNA from 1 species